CAAACUUGCCAGACAUCAAAAGUGCAAACUCUGGGUUUUCUGUGAUAGUUGCGGUUUCUGUGUGUUUGAUCCUGAUCGCUGUGUGUUUACUGCUUUUGUUUUUCAAAAAGAAAUACUACAGUAAACAAGGCAUCACUUCAUCAGCAGACAGAAGACAGACUGCAGAUCAUGAAACCGCUCAGGAAGAGAUUCAAGACUCAUCCUCACUCUAUUCAACAGUCCAGUUACCCACAACCCCCUCUGAUGGGCUUCUGUACGCAUCCGUCAGUUUUCAGAAGCAUGAAGAGUCUCUCGGUGAAGCUGCAGUCGCCUUCAAUAAAGACGAGACUCACUGUGACUAUGCAUCUGUCAAUCACAGACUUGCACAUAACUAACUUUCU